CCUACGGGGCUGCAGUGGGGAAUAUUGGACAAUGGGCGAAAGCCUGAUCCAGCCAUGCCGCGUGUGUGAAGAAGGCCUUCGGGUUGUAAAGCACUUUCAGUGGGGAAGAAAGCCUUGGGGCUAAUACCCUCGAGGAAGGACAUCACCCACAGAAGAAGCACCGGCUAACUCCGUGCCAGCAGCCGCGGUAAUACGGAGGGUGCGAGCGUUAAUCGGAAUUACUGGGCGUAAAGCGCGCGUAGGCGGUCUGAUAAGCCGGUUGUGAAAGCCCCGGGCUCAACCUGGGAACGGCAUCCGGAACUGUCAGGCUAGAGUGCAGGAGAGGAAGGUAGAAUUCCCGGUGUAGCGGUGAAAUGCGUAGAGAUCGGGAGGAAUACCAGUGGCGAAGGCGGCCUUCUGGACUGACACUGACGCUGAGGUGCGAAAGCGUGGGUAGCAAACAGGAUUAGAUACCCUGGUAGUC
rnacentral:rRNA from 1 species